UACGGGGGGGCAAGCGUUGUUCGGAAUUACUGGGCGUAAAGGGCUCGUAGGUGGCCAACUAAGUCAGACGUGAAAUCCCUCGGCUUAACCGGGGAACUGCGUCUGAUACUGGAUGGCUUGAGUUCGGGAGAGGGAUGCGGAAUUCCUGGUGUAGCGGUGAAAUGCGCAGAUAUCAGGAGGAACACCGGUGGCGAAGGCGGUUCUCUGGGCUAGCACUGACGCUCAGGCACGAAAGCGUGGGGAGCAAACAGG
rnacentral:rRNA from 1 species